rnacentral:rRNA from 1 species
CAGUCGCCGCGGGAAUACGUAGGGUGCAAGCGUUAAUAGGAAUUACUGGGCGUAAAGCGUGCGCAGGCGGUUAUAUAAGAAAGAUGUGAAAUCCCCGGGCUCAACCUGGGAACUGCAUUUGUGACUGUAUAGCUAGAGUACGGCAGAGGGGGAUGGAAUUCCGCGUGUAGCAGUGAAAUGCGUAGAUAUGCGGAGGAACACCGAUGGCGAAGGCAAUCCCCUGGGCCUGUACUGACGCUCAUGCACGAAAGCGUGGGGAGCAAACAGGAUUAGAUACCCCGGUAGUCCCUGUCUCUUAUAC